UACGUAGGGUGCAAGCGUUGUCCGGAAUUACUGGGCGUAAAGCGCACGUAGGCGGCUUUGUAAGUUAGAGGUGAAAGCCCGGAGCUCAACUCCGGAAUUGCCUUUAAGACUGCAUCGCUAGAAUUGUGGAGAGGUAAGUGGAAUUCCGAGUGUAGAGGUGAAAUUCGUAGAUAUUCGGAAGAACACCAGUGGCGAAGGCGACUUACUGGACACAUAUUGACGCUGAGGUGCGAAAGCGUGGGGAGCAAACAGG
rnacentral:rRNA from 1 species